CGUGGAGGAGCUGUGAGUACAAGCAUUGGCCGCUUACUCUGCCGCUCAACUGUUUACGCCCUUCUGGCGUGAACACUUGGCAUCUUUUACGCAUCCGCAUCACUGCCCGGGUACCACGGUUCGACGGAGACGCCACCGGCGGGCAGAAGGAGAGAAGGACCAGCCGCAGCAGCAGGACUGCAACCGCCCUAAACCGGGAGCCUAGGAGGAUUGUUUAAAUAAAUAGCCAAAAGGCAACGACUCCGAAAGUGCCCGGGAUAUACAGUGCCCAAAUGGAAGUUACAUUUAUAGCGCGAUUGGUAGUCCAAAAUGGACAUAAAGAAAAUUAAAAACUAUAGUGAGUUUAAGUUGAUCUAAAUUCUGAAUUUAUGCGGUAAAACGCUAAAUAUCUGAGCUAACCUGUACUUGGAUGUAUUAAUUCCCGAACCGCCAUCUUGAACACAGAGAGAGAAAAAGUUAAAAUUUUUUUUUUGUAAUUUAAGUUUAACCAUAAGAAUAUAAGAAUAUGUACUCGAGUAGGAGACUCAGACAUGCCUUUUUCUGAAAUUUUUUCGGAUUUAAAUUGAAUUCUCAUUAGUGAUUAAAAUUUUUAUAUAGUGUGUGAGCUAACCUAAGCCAGUUAAAUCUUUUUAAGAAGAGUUCAUUUUCGGAGAGUGCUCGUUUAAAUUUUCGAGUAAGGAUUUUUUUUAAAGUUUUAUCGCAGUGGUUGUGGAAAAUACCACACUUUCGUUUCAGCUCAUCUGCGCCGGGAGAUCGAUCUUUCGCCGAGGAGUGAAAAGUUGAAGGUCAUCAUAUAUUGUAUACAUACUGCUAAUAAACAAGUAAUAAUAAUGGAGUGGCGAGAACAGGCGAAAAACUAACCGAAUUUACUCGCGGCUCACUCUCAAACGAAAUUAAUUUUUCUUGUCGUUUUGUUGUCUACAAAAAAAAAAAAAAAAAAAAAAAAAAA